CUUUUACAAUGAAGAGUUUGAUCCUGGCUCAGGAUGAACGCUAGCUACAGGCUUAACACAUGCAAGUCGAGGGGCAUCAGGAAGAAAGCUUGCUUUCUUUGCUGGCGACCGGCGCACGGGUGAGUAACACGUAUCCAACCUGCCCUUUACUCGGGGAUAGCCUUUCGAAAGAAAGAUUAAUACCCGAUAGCAUAAUGAUUCCGCAUGGUUUCAUUAUUAAAGGAUUCCGGUAAAGGAUGGGGAUGCGUUCCAUUAGGUUGUUGGUGAGGUAACGGCCCACCAAGCCUUCGAUGGAUAGGGGUUCUGAGAGGAAGGUCCCCCACAUUGGAACUGAGACACGGUCCAAACUCCUACGGGAGGCAGCAGUGAGGAAUAUUGGUCAAUGGGCGUUAGCCUGAACCAGCCAAGUAGCGUGAAGGAUGAAGGCUCUAUGGGUCGUAAACUUCUUUUAUAUAAGAAUAAAGUGCAGUAUGUAUACUGUUUUGUAUGUAUUAUAUGAAUAAGGAUCGGCUAACUCCGUGCCAGCAGCCGCGGUAAUACGGAGGAUCCGAGCGUUAUCCGGAUUUAUUGGGUUUAAAGGGAGCGUAGGUGGACUGGUAAGUCAGUUGUGAAAGUUUGCGGCUCAACCGUAAAAUUGCAGUUGAUACUGUCAGUCUUGAGUACAGUAGAGGUGGGCGGAAUUCGUGGUGUAGCGGUGAAAUGCUUAGAUAUCACGAAGAACUCCGAUUGCGAAGGCAGCUCACUGGACUGCAACUGACACUGAUGCUCGAAAGUGUGGGUAUCAAACAGGAUUAGAUACCCUGGUAGUCCACACAGUAAACGAUGAAUACUCGCUGUUUGCGAUAUACAGUAAGCGGCCAAGCGAAAGCAUUAAGUAUUCCACCUGGGGAGUACGCCGGCAACGGUGAAACUCAAAGGAAUUGACGGGGGCCCGCACAAGCGGAGGAACAUGUGGUUUAAUUCGAUGAUACGCGAGGAACCUUACCCGGGCUUAAAUUGCAGUGGAAUGAUGUGGAAACAUGUCAGUGAGCAAUCACCGCUGUGAAGGUGCUGCAUGGUUGUCGUCAGCUCGUGCCGUGAGGUGUCGGCUUAAGUGCCAUAACGAGCGCAACCCUUAUCUUCAGUUACUAACAGGU
rnacentral:rRNA from 1 species